UUUUAUUAUGAGUGUGCAUAAGUCUGCUUGAUUCGCCCUUGACAACGACCUUUUCUACUGUUAUUAUAUUGCACUGGAUCUCAAGGACAACCAAGCAGCUUCAAGGUUAUGAUAUCAAGGAAUUGCUACAAGCAACCUGAUAGGGAUUUUCAUUGCUUCUGGAGCUUGUUCAGGCUACCUUAUAGGUUUAUUAACCAUGGAACCAUACACGCUGCCUUUAUUACUUCUUUCAUAAUCUAUCACUUCAUAAUUGGUGUGAGUGAACCAAGUGAUUCUUUGUCCUCGAUUCUGUCAAAAAGCAUAGAAAGCAAUGUCCUUUUUUUCUUUUUUUGCUUUUGUAGUUUUGAUUAUUCCCUGUAAUCUUAUACAAGUUAGUUCCUUUUGUAUGUGAGAGAGUUUUAUAUAACAUGCAUUUACAUGGGUAAGCAUUUUUUUGAUCUCGCACCCUUUGCAUCUCUCUUACUGUCACUCCUCUGCCACGGCUCACACAGUCAGGGAUUUUCAUGUGUUGUGAUGAACAACCAAACGAUGAUGGAGUUUUUUGUGUCUCAUCAAGUACAGAAUUCAGUUCCCUUCUUCAGGUAAACCCACUGUUCAGAAUUCAGAUCAUUGGCAGCUGGAAUUCCCAGCCCAAAAUUUUCAGAAAGUGUGGAUGACUGGGCAUGGUUCAAAGUCCACUCAAAUCUGAACAAUAGGAAUUGGGCUAAACCUUGGCUAAUGCUCCAG